GUAUGGUUUAUGGUUUCAUUGUUAGGAAUGUAUCGUAUUUAUUGUUAAACCCGGGAUUUAUGUUGUAAUAAUGGUAAACAUAAGACUACUAUAGGUUAAUGCAUCUUAAGUGGGUUUAUUCAGCUCUACCGUCACCACGUGGCGCGCAGAUGAUGAAUCGCAUGUGAACGUGUGGUGCGCUUUUAGUUAUUUGAAUGAAUGAGAUCUUGCCUUUCAAAUUGUUUUUGUGUUCGCGCGGAGUAGUUCAAACACCGCUUUUGUUCAUGUUAGUCUUACUUCUGGGCAUCUUCUUUUCUCUCUCCUGCAGAAAGACCUGGACGCUUCUGCUGCUGUGAGAUUGGAAUCUGUGACCGUGGCCUGUGGAGGAGCUUCUGCGUUUCUACAACGUGUAAAAAUCAAUACCGUACAAAUGCCGGUUGUGUAAAUCUAUAAAGGUUUUAUGUAAUUCGUGUUUGCUCCUUUUGUUUUGCUAAUAAAUGAGACUUUGAAAACCA